rnacentral:rRNA from 1 species
UACGGAGGGGGCUAGCGUUGUUCGGAAUUACUGGGCAUAAAGCGCACGUAGGCGGACUGUUAAGUCGGGGGUGAAAUCCUGGGGCUCAACCUCAGAAUUGCCUCCGAUACUGGCAGUCUCGAGUGCGGGAGAGGUGAGUGGAAUUCCCAGUGUAGAGGUGAAAUUCGUAGAUAUUGGGAAGAACACCAGUGGCGAAGGCGGCUCACUGGCCCGUAACUGACGCUGAGGUGCGAAAGCGUGGGGAGCAAACAGG